UACAGAGGAUGCAAGCGUUAUCCGGAAUGAUUGGGCGUAAAGCGUCUGUAGGUGGCUUUUUAAGUCCGCCGUCAAAUCCCAGGGCUCAACUCUGGACAGGCGGUGGAAACUACCAAGCUGGAGUACGGUAGGGGCAGAGGGAAUUUCCGGUGUAGCGGUGAAAUGCGUAGAUAUCGGAAGGAACACCUGUGGCGAAAGCGGCUCACUGGACCAUUACUGACGCUGAGGCACGAAAGCUAGGGGAGCAAACAGG
rnacentral:rRNA from 1 species